CAUGUAUCCUUAUUACAGCAGUUCAGUGAAAGGGAACUGGGAGUGCUACCCAAUAACUUAUUGGAAACUAAUUAGAUAUCCUAUGAAUGCAGCCAUUUUAUUUAACAACCAACUUUGCACGUUGACAUCCUAUUGGUUCUGCUCUUGGAAAUCGAAACCUAGCCUGGAUAACUUUUCAUGUUCCUGCAAAACAUUUUUGGGGGUUAUGGUAAAGAAGAGAUAUGCAAGGCUAUUGGAUUUUAGCUGUUUAGAGGUUGAAGAGGAUCAUCAACGCAAACUAGAUCUGCCCCUGUCUCCGCAAACAUCCAUACGCUACUACGAAAUCAGACAGAGAAAACAUUGUCCUUGACUGACAGCCUAAUGAAGCAAGCAAUGGAAUCCAUCAGGUUGUGUGAGUCCGACAGCCAGCCAGCAUACUACACAGACCAACAUCAGAGACAGAUUCCUGACAGUUGCACUGAAGCUCUCCUAACCACCCAUCGGUUUACCACACGCAACAACAAAAAUUCCUUCCCAUGCUGGGCCCUAGAUAGGGAGCCAAUGUGGGUGUGGGGUCUGAAAAAGAGGGGAGAUGGAGGGAAGGGUUGGAUGCUCCUGGAGAACACUGUCUGGGUGGGAUGCCAGGAGAUGAGUGCUGUUUAGAUCUGCAGAACUGGUCAGAAAGUCAAGGGUGACUAAAAUAUUUCUCUUGAAGUAAUGGGAAGAAGAAUAAAAAACAUGGACUGAAGUUCUAUUCAUAGAAAGAUCCAGUGACUCUGUAGUUGUUGGAAUGAUAAUUCAGCUCAUAAAUGCAGGGUGCAUCAGGAUGUCUAGGUCUGUCACCAAGAAGCUAGCACACAGUCACAGAGAAAGAUACACAGAGUUAGAAGGGAGGACCUAAGGAUAGGAUGAAUAAUACAAGAUGUGCCAGGUAGUUUAGAAGUCAAUGUUGAAGGGGUCAUCAAUUCCAAUGUAAGUGUCUUUCCUCCCUCCUCCCAUAUUGGAAGAAAUAACAGCCUAUGAAAACGGCAAUCAGCAGCUGAGCACUGAGAUUAGCCUUCUGAUUUCCCCCACUUAUCAACAGAAGCCCAGGAGUUAGGAGCAUGUGCAUGUUUCUUCAGAAACCAUUUCCAUUUCCCUGUACUUAGGGUUGCAUGAUUGCUUUGAAAAGUUACAAGUCUCUUCUAACCAGCCAAACUAGCACAUUGAAAGAAUCCUCUGUCCCUGAGGCUCUCGACUGAGCCCCGGAAGGCAGGAAGAGCAUUUGGCUUAAAUUCGUUCCGUCUGUAUGGAGUGAUUGCCCAGGGAAGGUCAGGUCAUUUUACAGAGCCUGUGCUUGCAUAGGUCUUGGUGACCGUAUGUUUAGGUGUAAAAUCAAACUUAACCUUAGUCACGCUGCAUGGACUUCUUUUUGUUUUUCUUUUUUUUCAAUUUAAAGUUUUAUUAAGUUUUCUUGUUUUUCAAUCAACCAACAAAACACAUUCCACAUUCACAGAUGUGACAGACUUAAAAAAAAUAAAAAUAACAAUAAUAAUAAAAAUAUAAUAAACAUAAUAAAAAACAAUAAUAAAAAAUAUAUAUUUAUAUAAAAACUUGCAGCAGCACUAUCAAGGUUCUUAUUAGCUAUUUCCAGCCUUAGCUGAGAUGACGAGCAAAUAAUUAGUUUUUACAGCACCUUACACAACAUGUAUCUGCUCAUUUCCCUAAUCACCCCAUUCACUCUGUCCAAUUUGAAAUAUAGUUGAGUAGUGGAGACCAGAGCCUAUCAAACUUGGGCUGUCUCUUGCGGAGGUCAUAAGUGAGCUUUUCAAGAGGGAGAAAGUCAACAAUCUGGUCAAUCCACAUUUUAAAUGUAGGAGAAGUAUUAGAGGCCCACAAUAGAAGAAUACAUUUCUUAGCAAAGUAUGUAAUAGUUAAACAAAUUUUCUCUGUCAGGAUCAAGAACAAAGUCCUGCUGGGCAUUAAGAAGUUAGAGACACAGUGUCAUAUCAAACUGUACAUCUAGUAUUUUCUUUGCAGCAGUAUGUAUAGAUUGCCAAAAUCUGGCAAUCUCUCUACAGCUCCAAAAUACAUGCAUAUAGGUUCCACCUUCAGAGGUACAUCUUUUACAGUUAGGAGAAAUGUCUGUUUUCAUUCUAUGGAGUCUCAUUGGAGUGUAAUAAAAUUUGUACAACAAUUUGUAAUUAGAUUCUUUCAUUUUAACAUUAGUAGAGCAGCAGUAUACCCUGUCGCAAACCUCCGCCCAUAACUCAUCACUGAUAGUCAGACCAAGGUCCUUUUCCCAGAUUAUUUUCAAAGGAGUAAAGGAGGA